CCUACGGGGGGCUGCAGUCGAGAAUCUUCGGCAAUGGGCGCAAGCCUGACCGAGCGACGCCGCGUGCGGGAUGAAGGUCUUCGGAUUGUAAACCGCUGUCGGAGGGGAUGAAGUGUACGGGGGCUAUCCCCUGUAUUUGACAGAGCCUCGGAGGAAGCACGGGCUAAGUUCGUGCCAGCAGCCGCGGUAAUACGAACUGUGCGAACGUUAUUCGGAAUCACUGGGCUUAAAGGGUGCGUAGGCGGUUUGUUAAGUCAGGUGUGAAAUCCCCCGGCUCAACCGGGGAACAGCGCUUGAAACUAGCAGACUAGAGUGAGGUAAGGGACCACGGAACUUCUGGUGGAGCGGUGAAAUGUGUAGAUAUCAGAAGGAACGCCGGUGGCGAAAGCGGUGGUCUGGGCCUUGUCUGACGCUGAGGCACGAAAGCUAGGGGAGCGAACGGGCUUAGAUACCCCAGUAGUC
rnacentral:rRNA from 1 species